rnacentral:rRNA from 1 species
GGGUUGUGAGGUUAAGCGACUAAGCGUACACGGUGGAUGCCCUGGCAGUCAGAGGCGAUGAAGGGCGUGCUAAUCUGCGAUAAGCGCCGGUAAGGUGAUAUGAACCGUUAUAACCGGCGAUACCCGAAUGGGGAAACCCAGUGUGAUUCGUCACACUAUCAUUACGUGAAUACAUAGCGUAAUGAAGCGAACCGGGGGAACUGAAACAUCUAAGUACCCCGAGGAAAAGAAAUCAACCGAGAUUCCCC